UCCGUAGGUGAACCUGCGGAAGGAUCAUUACAGAGUUCAUGCCCUCACGGGUAGAUCUCCCACCCUUGUGUAUUUAUACUUUGUUGCUUUGGCGGAGUGUCCAGGCUCAAUUGUCUGGGCCUCACUCGUGAGAGUCCUCCGCCAGAGGAAACCCAAAUUCUGAAUAUUAGUGUUGUCUGAGUACUAUAUAUAAUAGUUAAAACUUUCAACAACGGAUCUCUUGGUUCUGGCAUCGAUGAAGAACGCAGCGAAAUGCGAUAAGUAAUGUGAAUUGCAGAAUUCAGUGAAUCAUCGAAUCUUUGAACGCACAUUGCGCCCCUUGGUAUUCCAGGGGGCAUGCCUGUUCGAGCGUCAUUUCAACCCUCAAGCUCUGCUUGGUAUUGGGCGUUAUCAGUCACAUGAUAUGCCUCAAAAUCAGUGGCGGUGCCGUUGGGUCCUGAACGUAGUAGUAUAUUUCGUUACAGGUACCCCACGUGCUUCUGCCAUUAAACCCCCAAUUUUCUAUGGUUGACCUCGGAUCAGGUAGGGAUACCCGCUGAACUUAAGCAUAUCAAUAAGGCGG
rnacentral:rRNA from 1 species